rnacentral:tRNA from 2 species
GGACGGGUGGCCGAGUGGCUGAAGGCGGCGGUUUGCUAAACCGUUGUAGGCCAUUAAAAGUCUACCGGGGGUUCGAAUCCCCCCCCGUCCGCCA